GGACCCGCACAAGCAGCGGAGCAUGUGGUUUAAUUCGAAGCAACGCGAAGAACCUUACCAAGACUUGACAUCGUAAGACGGUAUCAGAGAUGAUAUUUUCCCUUCGGGGACUUAUAGACAGGUGGUGCAUGGUUGUCGUCAGCUCGUGUCGUGAGAUGUUGGGUUAAGUCCCGCAACGAGCGCAACCCUUAUCAAUAGUUGCCAAUAUUAAGUUAGGAACUCUAUUGAGACUGCCGUGGAUAACACGGAGGAAGGUGAGGAUGACGUCAAAUCAUCAUGCCCCUUACGUCUUGGGCUACACACGUGCUACAAUGGCUAUUACAAAGGGCAGCGAAGUGGUGACAUGGAGCAAAUCCCAUAAAGAUAGUCUCAGUUCGGAUUGUGGGCUGCAACCCGCCCACAUGAAGUCGGAGUUGCUAGUAAUCCCGAAUCAGAACGUCGGGGUGAAUGCGUUCCCGGGUCUU
rnacentral:rRNA from 1 species